GUUUCGGUUUCGGCGACACCACAGGCGUUGCCUGGGGACAAACCUAGAAUUAACGAGAACAAAGCUCGUGCUUUGUACCGUUUCAUUUGUACUGCCCUUUAGUUGCUUUAAGCAGCAUCAGUUUUCAAGAGGUGCUGUCACGUUUUAUUCUGGGAGCCUACCUGGGCUUGUUCGCUGCUCUUUUCCUGUGUCAGUAACAGUGGCACAGCAAUUCGGGGCUGAGAUUUUCACAGUUAGAUGUCUGAGUACCUUGGAGACUGGUAUUUGACAGCCUUUAAGAAUCUGCAUAUAAACUGCUGAGAGUGUCAAUACCUGCAGUCUGAUCGAGAAGCAGGGAGACUUCUAGAGGUCCGAAGCCAUCAGAGCACAGUGCAGGUGUUUUUCAAUUUGAAUAAACAUUCCCAACCUCAGGGAGCUCAUUUCAUCUGAGCCAGCAGACCUCCACAUCUGUGACUGUUUUACCUCAGACACGCAAGUGCCUUCCACUGGAAUUAAACACCUACCUUUCAGGAAAGACUGUGCGAAGUCAACAAGAUCAUCACAUUAAAGUCAUCAUGCUAAAUAAUCUGACCCUCUCAUUCUGAGAAAUAUGAUUCUUGUUUUCAGAAUCUGCAAUGAGGAAAGAGAUGAUUCUGAGUCCGUUUGUAAUUACAUACAUAAAAGCAUAUAUAUAGUACUUGUACUUUCCAACUAUUUUCUGUAUAUUGAUUAAUUUACUAAUAACAUUUGUCAAUUUAAAAAAAAAGAACCAUUUCUUUCCCCUAGUAUACUAACAUUCUGCUGUUUAAAAGGAGAAAAACAAUGCGUUUUACAGAUAUGUUUUA